UCCCAAUGAUGAAAUAAGUUAUCUUACAUGCUGAGUUGGUUCCAGAGCCUGUAAAGGUGAACCCACUGGUCCCACCAGUGUGAAAUGAGGAUAACUGGUUCAAAACAGAACUGUCUGAUGGGAU